rnacentral:rRNA from 1 species
GACGAACGCUGGCGGCGUGCCUAAUACAUGCAAGUAGAACGCUGAAGGAGGAGCUUGCUCUUCUGGAUGAGUUGCGAACGGGUGAGUAACGCGUAGGUAACCUGCCUGGUAGUGGGGGAUAACUUUUGGAAACGAUAGCUAAUACCGCAUAAUAACAGUUGUUGCAUGACAACUGUUUGAAAGGUGCAAUUGCAUCACUACCAGAUGGACCUGCGUUGUAUUAGCUAGUUGGUGGGGUAACGGCUCACCAAGGCGACGAUACAUAGCCGACCUGAGAGGGUGAUCGGCCACACUGGGACUGAGACACGGCCCAGACUCCUACGGGAGGCAGCAGUAGGGAAUCUUCGGCAAUGGACGAAAGUCUGACCGAGCAACGCCGCGUGAGUGAAGAAGGUUUUCGGAUCGUAAAGCUCUGUUGUAAGAGAAGAACGAGUGUGAGAGUGGAAAGUUCACACUGUGACGGUAUCUUACCAGAAAGGGACGGCUAACUACGUG